CGGCAACAGCUCAAAUUUGAAAUCUGGCCUCUUUGGGGUCCGAGUUGUAAUUUGUAGAGGAUGUUUCGGGUACCGCCUCGGUUUAAAUUUCUUGGAACAGAAUGUCAAAGAGGGUGAGAAUCCCGU
rnacentral:rRNA from 1 species